UUGGUGGUUAUGUUUUGGUUAUAGGUUAGUCCCUAGGAGUUGUGUUUUACAGACAGUUUUUUAAUUGUAUCAUUCGCCUUAAAACAGUAGUUAUGAGAAGUACAUUAAAAUAUUUAACUCUUUCUGUUCUUUCUAGUGUUUAACGUUUAUGCAAUAACCUACUUUUCAUGCUAAUGUACUAUAUGGAAUAAGGUCUUAAUGUAUAGGUUUGCCAAUGAAAUGAGAAUACAAUUUGUAUUGUUUUCAAUACAGUGAGGAGAUCACAUAUUGCUUUGAUUAAUAAUGUCAGAUGAGGAGGAAAUUGUUUUUCAAGGCAAUGCUCUGUAUUCCCAUUUAAUUAACCAAGGAUAUACAGAUUUUGAAACUUAUAAACCAAACUCUUUAGAUACUGAAGGAUAUGCUAAUGAUAACGUCAUAAAUAAAAUUUAUUCCACCAAACUCACUGAUGAGCCUAAAUAUUCAAAUGAUGAAACAAUUAUUCUAUCAUCACAUGAUGCAAAUUUACUUAAAAGUAUUUUAUCCUGUCAACUUCUGUUUAAAGAGGAUGCAGAUCUUUUAGAAGCAGUUACAUCAAGUGGUCAUGUUGAAGAAAAAAAGACUAAUUUAUAUUAUUAUUUUGGAGCUGUAUUAGCUGGUUUGUUUACAACAGUAGUAACAUUUAAGAAAGGAUUGAAUAUUUGGUUGCCAGCAGGUAUCACUUUGUUAACCACCAUUUAUUCUUCAUUUAGUUUUGUAAAAGAAUAUCAAGAGAUUCAACAUUACAAUCUCUUACAGUCUCAUGUUGUUAAAUUACAAGAAAUGUGCUCUAGUAUACACAGGCUGUUACGUUUCUUGAAAGAGACUGAAAUUUUAUCCACGAAUCAAGUUUCCAUCCAUAAUGUUGGGGCAGCUAUGUACAUGCCAACUCAGAUUCGUGAAAUGAAGGAUCUUGCUACCUUACCAUCCUGGAAAAGUAUGCCUAAUCUGCGAAAACAUCUCAUGGGUGCUUUGUUAGAAAUAAUAAACUUGCUUUCACUCUCUUGUGAAUCUUUAAGGCAAUUAUCUCCUUCUUGGUUGUCAGAAAGUGAUCAAAUUUCUCUGAGAGAAUCCAUAGUAUCAAAUGGUGUACUGUCCAGAUCUGAUCAGGUUUUGACCAUUAAAAAUCUCCAAUUAAUCAAUGAGAUUUAUUUGGUUGUCCAGUCAGAAUAUUUAAGGAGGAUUGCACUUAAUCUUUCCCCUAUGAUUUGGGGUGAUUCGAAGUUACUAAAAGGUAGAACAAAGAAAAAUACAUUAGACAUUAUUUCAAAUGUACAGUCAACAAUAAUUGACCUUUCUUUUAAAUUGAAAGUAUAUAACAUUAUUCAUAAUUUAUUUCCAAUGGCUGAUAAAGCAAGAGAAAAUCAAAUAAAUAAAAAUACAAAUUGUAUGACGGAAUUAAGUGAGAUUAAAUUUGAAGUUCAUAAUGUUUUUUUACUAAUACUAUCUUUACUGUUUAAAGUCAGAGGUUUGGAAGAUUAUUUGGAAAAUAAAUCAGAUACCGAUGAACAAAAUAAUCUUGGUAUUAAGGAUGAUAUAUCUCGACAAUUGACAUCUCUUAGAGAUGAACUAGCCAAUGCUAUUAAAUGCUAUGAUACAAUAUUUCAUCAAGGUAUUUCUAAAAAUAAAACCAUUCAGAGAAGUGAAUUCUUAAAAAUGACUUCAGAACCCAAACCGCGAGAAACUGGUAUUGUUGUGGGAACUUCAGAUUUCAAUGUGAAUACACCAGAUGAUGUUUUUCUUGCACUAUCGGGUUUGAAUUUAGAAAAUUGUGAUAACCAUGUAAGUCUAGAUGAGUGGAGUUUAGAAAGAAAGCCUCAAAUACCAAAAACAUUAUUAGUUGAACUCUCUAAUACUUUAAAAUCAAGAAAAAAAGAGUAUAACCAAAGGGAAAGAGAAGCAUUGGAGAGAAAAGGAUUACAGGAUAUUGAAAAAAGUUCUGAUUCUAGUGAUGCUGAGUGUGAAGAUGUUGAUAGAAAUCAUGACAUGACAACAAAAUUGAAACAGGGAAAUAAAAAUCUGGAAGCAAAAGAGAUAAACUCAAGUGAUAGUGAUGGGGAUGAACACUUUAAAUACAAGAGAAAAGUAAUUUCUAGAAGAUUAAGAGAUUUUAGAAGUCAUCUAUCAGGUUCAAUAUCAGAAUCAGAGAUUUCAGAUACUGAUGGAGACUUAAGAUAUGGGCCUAAUUUGUCCAACACUCUGUCACUAGCAAACUUAGCAGCAUUGAAAUCUCAGCAAUGGAGACAAGCUGAAGAAGAUUGUUUUUCUGAUGGUUGACUUCUUUUUCCUAUCUUGAAUGAAAUUUUACUGUGCUGUUCCUGUUAGAAUCCUUGAUACUCUAUAAUGUGUUCUUUGGGAAUUCUCCGAUUAAGAAAUGUUUAUAGACAACUGUUUUCAAGUUAUAAGUUCAAUAAUUGUUUUAUCAAACAGAGUGACAAUGUACAAUUCAAGUCUGUGUUAAGAUCCAAUUUAGCCAGUGAUGUGUCAAAAAUAGAUUCCAUGAAUACAAAAAGUAACUUAGGAAAAGACAAA